rnacentral:rRNA from 1 species
UACGAAGGGGGGCUAGCGUUGCUCGGAAUCACUGGGCGUAAAGGGUGCGUAGGCGGCUUUGCAAGUCGGGUGUGAAAUCCCCAGGCUUAACCUGGGAACUGCAUUCGAGACUGCAUUGCUAGAGUAUGGGAGAGGGAAGUGGAAUUUCCGGUGUAGCGGUGAAAUGCGUAGAUAUCGGAAGGAACAUCAGUGGCGAAAGCGACUUCCUGGACCAAUACUGACGCUCAUGUGCGAAAGCGUGGGGAGCAAACAGG